GGUAGAGUAAGAAGACCGUACAGAGAAGAAAAUUAUGAGAAAAUAGAUUUCAAAAGCAGAUGUUUCAGAGUCGUUUGCAAAUUUUCGCUUUCUUCUCGAUGAAUCAUCUGUUCCAUCAAAGUUGGCGGUGGCUGCACUCUGACUUGUACUGAAAAAAGUAAUCUUCCCAUCAAGAUUCCAUAUUUAGCGAGUUGGUUUCUGAUAUUUGGCAACCAAUCACUGGUAGUUCCAGAUUCUGAGCAUCCACUGUGGCUGCCAGGUUGAAUGAAUCCAUGUCAUAGGCACUGUUGUCUAUGUUGUAGCCAUCAUAUGAACAGAUGCCAAAGUCAUAGUUGUCUAAGGCCUGGAAUUGAUUUGUAGUGCACCCCAAAGGCUGAGUCAUAUAUUGGAUAUUUACUGAUUCUGAAUUGGAAAUGCUUGAACCAUUGUUGUGCUCAGAGUCUGAGUUCUGCUCAUGCUGAUUCAAAUGGUUGACACCUCGCUGGCUAGUGAUUUGUGUUUCUGGUGUUGCCUCAAUCCCAAAUGAUGAAUAAUGAAAACCACCAUUAGAAGGCAUAUGAAUUUCUUGGUCUUGGAGUGACAUGGCUGAAGGAGAUGAUUCUUGUGCUUUAUGAAGACAUCUUGUCAUCUGUAGAGCCUUGAAAAAUUCUACAAAUCCUGUUGUUCUCUGUGUCUCAGAUUUCAUAUAUCUUGCUUGUUUCUGAAUCCUUGUUCUCCAAUAGUUCUUUAUUUCAUUGUCUGUUCUGCCUGGCAGCUGUUGUGCAAUUUUUGACCACCUACAACAAUCACAUAAGUGGGAAUAAGAAUCCAAAGAAAGGAUAUUAUUCUGAAUUUGACUAGCACAUGGCUAGUGGCCCGUUUUGCUUCUUUCUCAACAAUAAAAAGCGUUUGAAUAAGCACAGUUUCACUAAGACAAGUAAAUAUGAGCUAUGCACCUGUUACCCCACCUUGAGUGGAGUUCAAAAAUCAAAAGCUGCUCCUCUGAGGUUAAAUUGCCUCGUUUAACAUCUGGCUUUAGAUAAUUUAGCCACCUUAAUCUGCAACUCUUUCCUGUUCUCCUUAAGCCUUGAGAAAAUUUAGUCAUCACAAAAGAUAAAGAAAGUAAUCAGAAUUAGCAUGCAAAUUGUUCACAAGAAUAUAAAAGUUACCACCAACAAGGUUUCUUUUCAUUCUUAUCUUGGAUUACCUGCACGUAUAGCAAGCAAAUUCCAUCUCCCUUCUCCAUGAUUGGCAAUGUAAUUCCCAAGAAGAUCAUCCUCUUCAAUACUCCAUGGCCCUCUUCUAAGUUCAGUAUCUUCUUCACUGUAACAGAUGAUGCUCUUUGAAGAAGCAGACAUGGCAAGUCUCAUUGAUCAAAACUAGAAACACCAUGCAUAUAUAUGCAGAGGAGAGUCAUUAUAAGUAUGUAAAUUAGCCUACGCCAGAUAUAUAAGUACACUGGUUUGAAUCUAUUAACAGUGUAACAUAUUUUUGUG